GGCAAUUGCGAUGAUGAUAACGUUUUCCCAGCUCAUUAUGAGACCUUUAAUUUUAAGGUCCGAGAAUAUACUCCGUUUCCAACACAUAUAUAUCUGAGCUUCGCC